rnacentral:rRNA from 1 species
GAUGAACGCUGGCGGCGUGCCUAAUACUUGCAAGUCGAGCGAACAGAUGAGGAGCUUGCUCCUCUGACGUUAGCGGCGGACGGGUGAGUAACACGUGGAUAACCUACCUAUAAGACUGGGAUAACUUCGGGAAACCGGAGCUAAUACCGGAUAAUAUAUUGAACCGCAUGGUUCAAUAGUGAAAGACGGUUUUGCUGUCACUUAUAGAUGGAUCCGCGCCGCAUUAGCUAGUUGGUAAGGUAACGGCUUACCAAGGCAACGAUGCGUAGCCGACCUGAGAGGGUGAUCGGCCACACUGGAACUGAGACACGGUCCAGACUCCUACGGGAGGCAGCAGUAGGGAAUCUUCCGCAAUGGGCGAAAGCCUGACGGAGCAACGCCGCGUGAGUGAUGAAGGUCUUCGGAUCGUAAAACUCUGUUAUUAGGGAAGAACAAAUGUGUAAGUAUCUAUGCACGUCUUGACGGUACCUAAUCAGAAAGCCACGGCUAACUACGU